CUUCUUCUUCUUUUCUUCUCUUCUUCUUCUUCUUCUUCUUCUUAUUCUUCUUCUUAUUUUCUUUUUUCUUUUUUCCUGUUAUUCUUCUUCUCCUUCUCCUUCUUCUUCUUUUCUUCUUGUCUUCUUCGUCUUCUUCUUCUUAUUCUUCUUCUUCUUCUUCUUCUUCUUCUUAUUCUUAUUUUCUUUUUUCUUUUUUCCUCUUAUUCUUCUGCUCC
rnacentral:lncRNA from 1 species